CUUGAGAGACAACCUAAUUUCUUAGGAACGACCUUAAUAAAAAUCAUAGCCCUAAAUAAAUAAAUAAAUAAAUAAAUAAAUAAAAGUUCUAGAUGAAGACUUUAAAUUUAGUGCUCUUGGGAGACAACCUAGCUCUUUACUUUUUAAUUUCAUUUUUCUUUCAGUUUGGUUAGGUUUAUCAGGUCCUAUCUUUCCUAGAAGUUGAGUUUUAUUAGAGACAAUGUCGGCUAAGU
rnacentral:lncRNA from 1 species